rnacentral:rRNA from 1 species
GACGAACGCUGGCGGCGUGCUUAACACAUGCAAGUCGAACGGAAAGGCCCUGCUUUUGUGGGGUGCUCGAGUGGCGAACGGGUGAGUAACACGUGAGUAACCUGCCCUUGACUUUGGGAUAACUUCAGGAAACUGGGGCUAAUACCGGAUAGGAGCUCCUGCUGCAUGGUGGGGGUUGGAAAGUUUCGGCGGUUGGGGAUGGACUCGCGGCUUAUCAGCUUGUUGGUGGGGUAGUGGCUUACCAAGGCUUUGACGGGUAGCCGGCCUGAGAGGGUGACCGGCCCCAUUGGGACUGAGAUACGGCCCAGACUCCUACGGGAGGCAGCAGUGGGGAAUAUUGCACAAUGGGCGGAAGCCUGAUGCAGCAACGCCGCGUGCGGGAUGACGGCCUUCGGGUUUUAAACCGCUUUCGCCUGUGACGAAGCGUGAGUGACGGUAAUGGGUAAAGAAGCACCGGCUAACUACGUG